UAGAGUUGUGGUCCAGUAGCAAGAACACAGAGAAACCCUUCUGGCUGGCCAUGCCACCCUGAGUGCUGUCUGCCCUCUCUACACUGUUGUCGGGCUAAAAACUUGCCCGUGAUCGUUCAUUCCUCUUUAACGUCGUCGAGAGAAUGGUUUCAGUGCAUCGUGUUCUGGAGGUGCUGGUGAAGCCCCCAUUCUUUACAGCCUCAAAUCUAGUAUGCCAAUGCUCCAGGAUGGGCGAACCGGGCUUUAAAGGCAUCCAGAGCGUCGUGGACACAAGAAGGACCCACUAGGGAGGCAGGGCUGGCCCUGAUGCUACCGGCGGCCUCCCUCCCCCAUCGAGAGCAGCAUCUUUUUGAGCCCCUCCUCUAACUCUGUCCACACCGUUUUCCUCAUUUCUCUAUAUUCAAUGUACAGUACAACUCAGGGCAUCAGGGCUAGACUGCCUGUGGCCUCAGCCUCUAGCCUGCAGCCCCGAUCUCAACAUGAAGUGCCUAGUCAAGCUGCUUGUCAUGAUCUGAACAUGGCUGCUUCCAUGUCCUCUGCGGUCGCCACCUGCCUCUGCUUAUCUGCAGACCUUGCCGCCCUGCUGUCUUCUCAGAAAACAUAACUGAGGUUAUGAGAUCCACAUCCCUGCAGCUCCCCGUGCCUUUGUACACACUGGACUGCAUAUCUGGACUCCUAGCCUCCUUCGGGUGUCUCUAACAAGACUAGAGCUUGCAAGCAUCUAGCCAGCAGUUCUUCCCGGGAGUAUUAGCUGCUAUCUGAGGGCACAUGGCUCACAGAGCAUAGCCCCUCCCCCUCCCCCCCAAGCCCUUCCUGUCUGGUUGGACAUUCUCUUCCUUUUGCCCCUGUGCGAUAGGGUGGCUCCCCGCAAGCCAUCCCCAUGCCCCGCAAGGCAUCCCCAUGCCUUUUCUAAGUAUCACCACUGUCCUCCCCAGGAUGGACAUAGCUUGUUGAUCACUAUGUGACAGAAGCCACACCCAAGGUGAGUCUGGUCCCCAGUUCACUGCCGGUGCAUAGAUUUCCCAUCCUCUCAUAUUUUCACACAGCCUCUCUAUUGAAGACACUUUGAACUUGCCCUCUGUGGGUGAAACAUGUGCUGUCGAUUCUUGCUGUGUCCUAGAGCCAAGCUCUUUAGGAUAAGGAGCUGGCUCUGGCCAUGCUGGGCCGUGGAGAGGCAUCUCAGCCCCUACUCACCUGCGUUAUUCCCAGUCCAGAGCAGUGAAACUUGUAUAGGACUGCUCCUUUUUUAGAAGUCAAUUUCUCUGCAAGCCCAGCCCUCCCUCACCCCUGCUGAACUGUUAUGGAUAAAGGCCGGGCUUGGCCUUGCACUUCUUAGCAAGAAAGGAACUUGGAGGCAUCAGCCUGACGUCCCUGGUAGACCUGUGGACCAGGCCUGGCGCUCCUCCUGGCUUCCUUUGCAAGUUGCUGUCUGUGGGAUCUCAAAGGCAGCAGUUGAUUUAGGUGUGGCUAAUGGUUGUUCUUGCCCAGCAAGUACAAAGCUGACUGGCUACAAAGGAGACUACACGUUUACUAUCUGGCCCUCUAUAGAAAAGGUUGGCCAAUGCUAAUGGAGAUCCCUGACUUUGUAGCCUGCUACCAGAACAAAAGCCACCUGCCUGCAGACCUCUAGGCCAGUGAUUAACCUGAGAGGAUGAGGGGUGAGCAUCUAGUCACGGCCUCAGGGGGAGAGAGCACAGUCCCCACGGAGGCAGGAAGCUGACAUGACAGACAGAUGUGCCCCAUUUGCCUCAGGGGGGGCUUUGUCUUCUCUUGCCAACGGGCGCCUUGUACAUGGCCCGACUCCUCUUCUGGGCCUCCCACUGCUGGCUGCCACAGUUUCUCCCCAUGUGACAGAACAAGGCAGAGAAAAGGACGCACCUACCAACAGCACCCACUCCGACCCACAGGAAGGACGGCACCAUGCCGUCCAUCAGUGGCACAAACCUACCCUUCAUUUCGUCUGCUCAACAAGAUGCCAGUGUGCCUGUCAUCCCACAGCUCCACUCUGGCACUCAGUCCAGAGCAGAAACCAGCUUCCUCAGACCCUGAUCGCCCCCCACAGCUCAAAUCCUAUCACAGCUAAACGCAGCGCAUGACAGAGUCUUUGCCAGAUCCUCUGUCGGCGGCACCUCGGACUCACCACAACAAGCCUCCAGCUGGCCAGGACCCUCCACCAUGUUCAGACACCUCCACCGGCAAGUGCCAAACCAGGCAUUGUUGUUGCUAAGACUUGCUGAGUGGUCUUGGCUGGCAGGCAUUGGCACUGGCAGUAAAUAGGGCCACCACGCUGCUGGCAGGUACUGGAAUCUUAUCAGCGCUCACUGGGAUUUCCAGGUUCUUGUUUCCUGGUAAAAGAAACGGCCCAGGGACGUGUGAAUAGUAGUAGCAGCAGAGACAGUUUAUUAAGGAAGAAAGCACCUCCAGGGGAAAACGUGGGCCAGAGUUUGAAGAAAGGUCAGAAGCUCAAUGGCGCCAGCGCCUAGGGGUCAUUGUAGAGUGUAAGCUUUUUGUGGAUCUGCUAUGCGUUGGCUUUGGAGGGGAUGGGGUCAAGUCCUCUCUGCCGACUGGUUUCUUUCAUAUGCUAAUGCAGACCUACCUCUCUGCCCUGCUCCCCUGACACAAGCCCCGCUGCUGUCACUAAGGGCCAUGCUGGCUGUUGGUCCUUUUCCAGGUUCCAGGUCACAAGGCCCAUGCCAGUAGUUCUGCUUGUAGAUCAGCAGCAGACUACUAAUAAAGCUUUCUCCCGACUGGA